GUCUAGUUAGUUUUAUAGUAAAACAUGGUUUU
rnacentral:tRNA from 1 species